GUCUGGUUGGUUGCUUGUGCUCUACCCUGAGAAUCGAUUCCAACUUUUUGGCUUGAAAUUUAGUUCUUCUUUCCACAAGAUGAGCACCAAUUGAUUAUCUAUCUACUGUGGCUUGUGAAGAACAUGGUCGCUUGAUCUCGUUAAGUACUUACUUUUUGGGAGCCAUGGAGAUGGAGAGACACUUGACGAAAGAGAGGAUUUUAAGUGUGGAAGAAGGAAUGAGGCUUUUGAAAGCAAAAAGGGCUUGAUAUAUGAUGAAGCAUUUUUAGGA
rnacentral:lncRNA from 1 species